rnacentral:rRNA from 1 species
CCUACGGGUGGCUGCAGUGAGGAAUAUUGGUCAAUGGACGCAAGUCUGAACCAGCCAUGCCGCGUGCAGGAAGACGGCUCUAUGAGUUGUAAACUGCUUUUGUACGAGGGUAAAUCCCGAUACGUGUAUCGGGUUGAAAGUAUCGUACGAAUAAGGAUCGGCUAACUCCGUGCCCGCAGCCGCGGUAAUACGGAGGAUUCAAGCGUUAUCCGGAUUUAUUGGGUUUAAAGGGUGCGUAGGUGGUUCGUUAAGUUAGAGGUGAAAUGUAGGGGCUGAACUCCGGCACUGCCUCUGAUACUGGCGGGCUAGAGUAUAGUUGCGGUAGGCGGAAUGCGCGGUGUAGCGGUGAAAUGCAUAGAUAUCGCGCAGAACGCCGAUUGCGAAGGCAGCAUGCCGGCUCCACACUGACGCUGAGGCACGAAAGCGUGGGUAUCGAACAGGAUUAGAUACCCUUGUAGUC